UGGGGAAUAUUGCACAAUGGGGAAACCCUGAUGCAGCAACGCCGCGUGAAGGAAGACGGUUUUCGGAUUGUAAACUUCUGUUCUUAGUGAAGAAUAAUGACGGUAGCUAAGGAGCAAGCCACGGCUAACUACGUGCCAGCAGCCGCGGUAAUACGUAGGUGGCAAGCGUUGUCCGGAAUUACUGGGUGUAAAGGGAGCGCAGGCGGGAGACCAAGUCAGCUGUGAAAACUACGGGCUUAACCUGUAGACUGCAGUUGAAACUGGUUUUCUUGAGUGAAGUAGAGGUUGGCGGAAUUCCGAGUGUAGCGGUGAAAUGCGUAGAUAUUCGGAGGAACACCGGUGGCGAAGGCGGCCAACUGGGCUUUAACUGACGCUGAGGCCCGAAAGUGUGGGGAGCAAACAGGAUUAGAUACCC
rnacentral:rRNA from 1 species